AUGAUAGUAUGGAAUGUUCGUAGGCUAAAUGCACCUUCCCUGCGGAACACGGUUUACCAGGUGGUCAGGGCAGCCAGCCUAACCGUAGUGUGUCUCCAAGAGACAAAGUUGCAUGAUGUAUCCGUGAAUGUUCUCCGACAAUGCCUCGAUGCUAAAUUCGAGAAGUUUUUCUAUUUGCCCGUGUUGGGAACGCGUGGAGGGAUUUUGGUGGCUUGGGAUGCCGCUUUGGUCCACCUCUCUAACCUGCACCUUACCAAUCAUAUGCUAACGACGCUAAUUAAAUGUACAGAGGAUGAGCAACCUUGGUGGCUCAUGUGCGUGUAUGGCCCGCAAGAGGAGUCUGACAAGGUGACUUGGUGGAUAUUAGAGACUUGCACAUUGGGCCUUGGCUUGUGUCCAGGGAUUUCAACCUCAUUUCUUGUGAGUAGGACAAGAACAAUGCCAUGA
rnacentral:rRNA from 1 species